rnacentral:rRNA from 1 species
UACGUAGGGGGCAAGCGUUGUCCGGAUUUAUUGGGCGUAAAGAGCGUGUAGGCGGUUUGGUAGGUCCGUUGUGAAAACUCGAGGCUCAACCUCGAGACGCCGAUGGAAACCAUCAGACUAGAGUCCGGAAGAGGAGAGUGGAAUUCCUGGUGUAGCGGUGAAAUGCGCAGAUAUCAGGAGGAACACCGGUGGCGAAGGCGGUUCUCUGGGCCUGUACUGACGCUGAGGAGCGAAAGCGUGGGGAGCAAACAGG